UACGUAGGUGACGAGCGUUAAUCGGAAUUACUGGGCGUAAAGCGUGCGCAGGCGGUUUUGUAAGCCAGAUGUGAAAUCCCCGGGCUUAACCUGGGAAUGGCAUUUGGGACUGCAAGGCUGGAGUGUGGCAGAGGAGACUGGAAUUCCUGGUGUAGCAGUGAAAUGCGUAGAUAUCAGGAGGAAUACCGAUGGCGAAGGCAGGUCUCUGGGCUGACACUGACGCUCAUGCACGAAAGCGUGGGGAGCAAACAGG
rnacentral:rRNA from 1 species